rnacentral:rRNA from 1 species
UACAGAGGUCUCAAGCGUUGUUCGGAUUCAUUGGGCGUAAAGGGUGUGUAGGUGGCGCCGUAAGUCGGGUGUGAAAUUUCGGAGCUUAACUCCGAAACUGCAUUCGAUACUGCGGUGCUUGAGGACUGGAGAGGAGACUGGAAUUCAUGGUGUAGCAGUGAAAUGCGCAGAUAUCAGGAGGAACACCGGUGGCGAAGGCGGGGUCUCUGGGCCGAUACUGACGCUGAGGAGCGAAAGCGUGGGGAGCGAACAGG